UACGUAGGGUGCAAGCGUUAAUCGGAAUUACUGGGCGUAAAGCGUGCGUAGGUGGUUUGUUAAGUCUGCUGUGAAAGCCCCGGGCUCAACCUGGGAAUGGCAGUGGAUACUGGCAAGCUAGAGUGCGGUAGAGGGUAGUGGAAUUCCCGGUGUAGCGGUGAAAUGCGUAGAGAUCGGGAGGAACACCAGUGGCGAAGGCGGCUACCUGGACCAGCACUGACACUGAGGCACGAAAGCGUGGGGAGCAAACAGG
rnacentral:rRNA from 1 species